GCAAGCCAGGAAGGAAGGAGGAGGCAGUCAGAGUGGCCACCACUGUUCUCUGCAGCAGAAGACCCCAUGCUGCCAGAUUAAGCCUUGAGGACUAGAACGACAUGAUUAAAUCAGUCUCAGAAGAUAAGCCUCACAGCCAUAGUCCAUAAUCUCUGUUUUAGUCACAAGACUUCAUUGAUAUCCAGGAAUCAUCCCUACGAAGCGUUGCUGUGUUAAGCAGUUAGUGUAACAUCAAGGAAACUCACUAGGGGCUGUGCCUUCCAGAACUUCGUGGUUUUACCCCAUCCAUUUCAAUUGCACUAUUUGAAUGUAUCACUUUUCUGAGCUAACACUUCUUGCAAGCAAGUCUGUUCUAACAAAUUCCCCAUAUAAGUGAUUUAUUUUGCUAAUUCCCUAAUCAGAUUGUACCUUUUGAUUGUUUUCUAAUAAAUGUUAAAUUUUUUGCAUUGCAA